rnacentral:rRNA from 1 species
CCUACGGGUGGCAGCCGUGGGGGAUAUUGCACAAUGGGGGGAACCCUGAUGCAGCGACGCCGCGUGGGUGAAGGAGCGUUUCGGCGCGUAAAGCCCUAUCGGCAGGGAAGAAGGAGGACGGUACCUGACUAAGAAGCCCCGGCUAACUACGUGCCAGCAGCCGCGGUAAUAUGUAGGGGGCAAGCGUUAUCCGGAUUUCCUGGGUGUCAAGGGGGCGCAGACGGCAGCGCAAGCCAGGAGUGAAAGCCCGGGGCCCAACCCCGGGACGGAAGUGGGAAAUGGGCGGUGGGAGUGCAGGAGGGGCAGGCGGAAUUCCGGGUGUAGCGGGGAAAUGCGUAGAUAUCAGGAGGAACACCGGUGGCGAAGGCGGCCUGCUGGACUGCGACUGACGUUGAGGCCCGAAAGCGUGGGGAGCAAACAGGAUUAGAUACCCCUGUAGUC